AAUGAUAUGGCCGAGUAGGUGUUAGUCUCUUAAAUUAAUCACGAGAAAAGUAGUUAAACU
rnacentral:tRNA from 1 species